rnacentral:lncRNA from 1 species
CGCAGGAGGCGGGCUCAGCGCUGACGGGCUGCGCCUCUGCAGCCAGAGGGAGGAGGGCGGGAAGGCGUGCGGCGGCGGCGGCGGCGGCGGAGGAGGAGAAGGAGGCGGGGACUACGCCGGGCCGUAGCUGGCGCCGAGCGCGGUGGGAGCGGAGAGGGUACACGGCUGGCUCGGCUGGCGGCCUCAGCCCGGACCUCGACGCCGCAGCCCUGCGCCUCCCGAGCCCUUGUCUCAGUCUCCGCGACCGCAAGCACGGCGGAGGCGGCGGAGCUGUGGGCCACUGGUAUUCCUUAGCAGCAACCAGGAAAAGAAAAGAAUGAGAAAAAGAAUCCAAUUCCUAUUUCAUAUUCCAUAAUCAAGACAAGAAUAAGAAGAUGGAAACACUUAAGGCAGAGGAUUGAAGGUGAGUGAAAACAUAUGAGGGACGGAUUGUGGAGGAGAUGGAGUGGACAAGAAUAUAAAUAGAGUAUUGUGGCACAGCCCCAAAAAUAUAUACAUAUAUAUAUUACAAAGCAAGUCAAUUACAUCAUAGAGUCAGUCAUGCCAGUUGGUCAAUAUCUUGUGAAACAAAUAAUGUG